rnacentral:misc_RNA from 1 species
CAACCCUCAAGCAAUGCUUGGUGUUGGGCUCCGCUGGUAGCAGCGGGCCUUAAAAUCAGUGGCGGUGCCACCAGGCCCUGAGCGUAGUAAAUAUCCUCGCUACAGGGUCCGGUGGACGCUGGCCAUCAACCCCCACUCUCUAA